rnacentral:rRNA from 1 species
UGGGGAAUUUUGGACAAUGGGCGCAAGCCUGAUCCAGCCAUGCCGCGUGAGUGAAGAAGGCCUUCGGGUUGUAAAGCUCUUUCGGACGGGAAGAAAUGGCGGGCUCUAACAUAGCCUGUCGAUGACGGUACCGUAAGAAGAAGCACCGGCUAACUACGUGCCAGCAGCCGCGGUAAUACGUAGGGUGCGAGCGUUAAUCGGAAUUACUGGGCGUAAAGCGCGCGCAGGCGGUCUGGUCAGUCGAUGGUGAAAGCCCCACGCUCAACGUGGGAAGGUCCGUCGAGACGGCCAGACUGGAGGCAGGGAGAGGUCGGUGGAAUUCCGGGUGUAGUGGUGAAAUGCGUAGAGAUCCGGAGGAACACCAGAGGCGAAGGCGGCCGACUGGACCUGACCUGACGCUGAGGCGCGAAGGCGUGGGGAGCGAACG